rnacentral:rRNA from 1 species
AAAUUGAAGAGUUUGAUCAYGGCUCAGAUUGAACGCUGGCGGCAGGCCUAACACAUGCAAGUCGAGCGGCAGCGGGAAAGUAGCUUGCUACUUUUGCCGGCGAGCGGCGGACGGGUGAGUAAUGCCUGGGGAUCUGCCCAGUCGAGGGGGAUAACAGUUGGAAACGACUGCUAAUACCGCAUACGCCCUACGGGGGAAAGGAGGGGACCUUCGGGCCUUUCGCGAUUGGAUGAACCCAGGUGGGAUUAGCUAGUUGGUGGGGUAAUGGCUCAC